rfam:Chlorocebus sabaeus isolate 1994-021 chromosome 16, whole genome shotgun sequence.
AUACUUACCUGGCAGGGGAGAUGCUAUGAUCACAAAGGUGGUUUUCCCAGGGUUAGGCUCAUAUUCCAGGUGUGCUGACCCCUGCAAUUUCCCCAAAUGCAGGAAAUUCAACUGCAUAAUCGGUGGUUGGGGGGACUGUGUUUGCGAUUUCCCAUG